UGCCAGCCGCCGCGUAAUACCGGCAGCUCGAGUGGUCGUCGCUUUUAUUGGGCCUAAAACGUCCGUAGCCUGUUUGGUAAAUCUGUGGGUAAAUCAACGAGCUUAACUCGUUGAAUUCUGCAGAGACUGCCAGACUAGGGACCGGGAGAGGUAUGAGGUACUCUGGGGGUAGGGGUAAAAUCCUGUCAUCCUUAGAGGACCACCAGUUGCGAAGGCGCCACACUAGAACGGAUCCGACGGUCAGGGACGAAGCCUAGGGGCACGAACCGGAUUAGAUA
rnacentral:rRNA from 1 species